CCUACGGGAGACAGCAGUAGGGAAUCUUCCACAAUGGGCGAAAGCCUGAUGGAGCAACGCCGCGUGGGUGAAGAAGGUCUUCGGAUCGUAAAACCCUGUUGUUAGAGAAGAAAGUGCGUGAGAGUAUCUGUUCACGUUUCGACGGUAUCUAACCAGAAAGCCACGGCUAACUACGUGCCAGCAGCCGCGGUAAUACGUAGGUGGCAAGCGUUAUCCGGAUUUAUUGGGCGUAAAGGGAACGCAGGCGGUCUUUUAAGUCUGAUGUGAAAGCCUUCGGCUUAACCGGAGUAGUGCAUUGGAAACUGGGAGACUUGAGUGCAGAAGAGGAGAGUGGAACUCCAUGUGUAGCGGUGAAAUGCGUAGAUAUAUGGAAGAACACCAGUGGCGAAAGCAGCGUACCGGCCGGUCACUGACGCUGAGGCACGAAAGCGCGGGUAUCGAACAGGAUUAGAUACCCGUGUAGUC
rnacentral:rRNA from 1 species